GGCCUAACACAUGCAAGUCGAGCGGAAACGACACUAACAAUCCUUCGGGUGCGUUAAUGGGCGUCGAGCGGCGGACGGGUGAGUAAUGCCUAGGAAAUUGCCUUGAUGUGGGGGAUAACCAUUGGAAACGAUGGCUAAUACCGCAUGAUGCCUACGGGCCAAAGAGGGGGACCUUCGGGCCUCUCGCGUCAAGAUAUGCCUAGGUGGGAUUAGCUAGUUGGUGAGGUAAUGGCUCACCAAGGCGACGAUCCCUAGCUGGUCUGAGAGGAUGAUCAGCCACACUGGAACUGAGACACGGUCCAGACUCCUACGGGAGGCAGCAGUGGGGAAUAUUGCACAAUGGGCGAAAGCCUGAUGCAGCCAUGCCGCGUGUAUGAAGAAGGCCUUCGGGUUGUAAAGUACUUUCAGUUGUGAGGAAGGGUGUGUAGUUAAUAGCUGCGCAUCUUGACGUUAGCAACAGAAGAAGCACCGGCUAACUCCGUGCCAGCAGCCGCGGUAAUACGGAGGGUGCGAGCGUUAAUCGGAAUUACUGGGCGUAAAGCGCAUGCAGGUGGUUCAUUAAGUCAGAUGUGAAAGCCCGGGGCUCAACCUCGGAACUGCAUUUGAAACUGGUGAACUAGAGUACUGUAGAGGGGGGUAGAAUUUCAGGUGUAGCGGUGAAAUGCGUAGAGAUCUGAAGGAAUACCAGUGGCGAAGGCGGCCCCCUGGACAGAUACUGACACUCAGAUGCGAAAGCGUGGGGAGCAAACAGGAUUAGAUACC
rnacentral:rRNA from 1 species